UUAAGUUCAGCGGGUAGUCCUACCUGAUUUGAGGUCAAACUUGUUUGUUGUGUUGUAAGGCCGAGCCAAUAAUACCAAACAUUUGCUACCAGACUAUUCAACGAGUUGGAUAAACCUAAUACAUUGAAAAAGUCUUGAAGCACUAUCUAGUACUACUCAUGCCAAUACAUUUCAAGCAAACGCUUAGUCUGACUAAGAGU
rnacentral:misc_RNA from 1 species